CCUACGGGAGGCAGCAGUAGGGAAUAUUGCACAAUGGGCGAAAGCCUGAUGCAGCAACGCCGCGUGCGGGAAGAAGGCCUUAGGGUUGUAAACCGCUUUCAGCAGGGAAGAAAAUGACGGUACCUGCAGAAGAAGGUGCGGCCAACUACGUGCCAGCAGCCGCGGUGACACGUAGGCACCAAGCGUUGUCCGGAUUUAUUGGGCGUAAAGAGCUCGUAGGCGGUUCAGUUAGUCGGGUGUGAAAACUCUGGGCUCAACCCAGAGACGCCACUCGAUACUGCUGUGACUAGAGUGCGGUAGGGGAGCGGGGAAUUCCUAGUGUAGCGGUGAAAUGCGCAGAUAUUAGGAGGAACACCAGUGGCGAAGGCGCCGCUCUGGGCCGUAACUGACGCUGAGGAGCGAAAGCGUGGGUAGCAAACAGGAUUAGAUACCCUGGUAGUCCACGCCGUAAACGUUGGGCACUAGGUGUGGGUCUCAACCAACGAGAUCCGCGCCGUCGCUAACGCAUUAAGUGCCCCGCCUGGGGAGUACGGCCGCAAGGCUAAAACUCAAAGGAAUUGACGG
rnacentral:rRNA from 1 species